rnacentral:lncRNA from 10 species
CAGGAGGCCUCGUAUGUCUUCUUCUAGGAGGACUCUCAGCUGAUGUUGGUUUUUUUAGUCUGUAUGAGCGAUGGACAAGCUGUCACUACCCAUUAGAUUUUGGGUGGUCCCAGGGGACCAUCCCAAGUUUGAGGAAAGUUGGCAAUGGAAAAAGGAGCAUCUGAUAGGAGCAGUCAGUGAAGUCCUUGGUUCUUACAGAGGCAGAGAGCAUGCUGUUCAGGCGCAGAUGCUGGCGUUGGACACACCCAGAUGUCAGUGUGAAAAGAAAAUAAAAUUCCGGGACCCCAAACUCAAUACACCAAAGGGAAAAGGAAAGCUUGGAAGCUGAGUCACACAAAAAAUCGGUCUUUUGUUUCUAAAUAGACAGCUACAAGAUAAAAGGACACAUGUCUCUCCAGGUGGCCUCCCUCACCUUGACAGUGUGAAUUAACAGCUUAUCUUCAUGGACAUGGGACAAGAGGAGACUGGAAAUCAUCUCCCACACCACCCUCUCCAAGACAAAUUCAUAUUUAACUUC